UGAGGUAAAUCAAUUAAUGUUUUUGGUAAGCUGCAAUGUUUGGACUGCAAAGUGCAUGAUUUCUGUGCCCUCGAUAUUUUUGGGCUUAAUGGGCCAAAAUUGGAAUGAUGGGCCAACGGGCCCAAUUCGGAAAUCCCCAACCAUAGUGGGCUUGGAGCUGUAAGGGAAUUCGGAGUGGCCACCCGUUCUGAAAGUUCGAUUUUCUUCUGGUGAAUUGGACAUCCUUUUAUUUAAGUUUGAAGUUUUGGGUUUUUAAAUGUAAUAAGGCCGCUUAAUUAUUUUUGAUGGUUUUAAUAUGUAUUACUAAGAUAGGCAUUACUUAUUUUAACUGUUGAAA